UGGUCCUACGGGAGGCAGCAGUGGGGGAUAUUGCACAAUGGGGGGAACCCUGAUGCAGCGACGCCGCGUGGGUGAAGGAGCGUUUCGGCGCGUAAAGCCCUAUCGGCAGGGAAGAAGAUGACGGUACCUGACCAAGAAGCCCCGGCUAACUACGUGCCAGCAGCCGCGGUAAUACGUUGGGGGCCAGCGUUAUCCGGAUUUACUGGGUGUAAAGGGGGCGCAGACGGCCAUGCAAGCCCGGAGUGAAAGCCCGGGGCCCCCCCCCGGGACUGCUCUUUGUACUGCCUUGCUUG
rnacentral:rRNA from 1 species